UUGGCGCCGCCCAGCGGCCGCGCUGUGGGGGGGCGGUGUCCUCCCCGGCGCGCGGGCGGGGCUGUGAGGCCGCGCCGCCAUGUUGGCGGUCCCCGCGUGGCGCUGGCCCCGCACCUCGGUGUGUUGGCUGUGCCAGGGCACGGGGCUGUGCCGGGAGCCGGCGCUGUCCCCAGGUGGUAGUGCUGUGCCAGGGAAUGGCCUCAGCCCUCCUCAGAGCAGCGUGCUGGGUGCUGGCCGGGUGCCACCUCCCCUGAACGCCGCGCGGCCCCACCGCGGUCUCUGCUUCAGGAAUCUCAGAUGGAGGAAUUGAGCAGAAUACAUGGGGAAUUUGCUUUCAGAACUGAAGCUCAGCAGGACUUGGUUCUCUCCAUGAGUGACAGAAUCCUUCACAGUGAGCUCCCAGCAUAUUGAAAACUUUCAAAGGAUGAAAUGGAUUGGUUUGGCAGAUCUGAAGAGUCUGAAUUAAUCCCCUGGUUAGAGCAUUUGAGCACUGCUGAUGUGGAACAGCACAGCCAGCAACGUAAAGAUUUCAAGAUGGUUAAUUCCAAGGAAACAAGAAACUUCAGGUGGACGUGGAAGGAGGAUUUAAACAAACUGACAGUUUGUCUUCAGAGGAUCUCCCUGCAGACCCCAAAUUAUUUCAAGGUAAACUCCUGGAACUGUUUGAUGGUCAUCCUGUGAUCCACGUAAUGUUCUACUAGUUCAGGAGGGCAGAGAAGAAUGAUGUGUCCAAGCAAGAACUUGGACUGCUCUGAAGGCACAAAGCUCUUCAUCUCAUGUGCAACCUGGUGUAGGACAUCCCAGCUCUAAGAGCUUCCUUCCAAUAAAUCCCCUUGAUGCAGUUGGUUUUCUGGGAAGGGAAGAAGCAGGGAGGCAAAGCUGAGUCGAUUUUUAAAUGAAGCCGCUACCAAUUGCUAUCCAUUAGACCUACAGACUCUUCAGCUUUCUAGACAUUUCUUCCGACCUCUGUCAUGGAGAACUUCACCGUGAAGCCGCAGAAUGCAGAUGGAUUGACAACCAAAGCCCCGCGUGUACUUUUUCCCACAUGUCCAACUCGUAGAUGAAGAUUUCACACCAUGAGCAGUUGAGAAGGUCAUAUUCCAAACACCUCACAUGACAAGGAAUGAACAGCCACACUUCUUACCUGUUGUGGUGGAGACAAGUCUUCCAUGUUGUACAACGCUAAGCAAAAGUAGCUCAAAUGGAGUAACAAAGAAAGGAAGUGAUUCAGAGGCUUUGAACCACAGGACCAACAAUUCACAUCCAUCCACGCAAACGCCGGCAAAAUGACUGGGCCUAACACUGCCUGCAAACUGGGCUGUGUGUUCCCUCCUGCACACCAGAUUACUCCUCGAGCAACCUCUCUGGGAUGCCACACAGUGGUACUCAGUGCACAGCCCACGACCAACGGCCAAACGUCACCAUCUUGUGACGCAACGAUCAGAAACAGCCGAAUUUUUUAACGACGAGUUGUUAAUUUUUUAACCAGCAUGGCCACCAUUAGUCUGAGACAUACCAGCUUUAUUUCCUUCUAGAACUAAUUGAAACAUCCGAAGAAAACUCGGACAACACCAGGCAAAGAUCCUCCAUGCAUCCCAGAAACUACUCAUACUAAAGUUGUGUCGCUAACUUUUUUGGGUCAAAGCUGUUCUUCACAGAACUCCCACUGGCUAUUCCAGAGUCACAACAGCAAUGACAUGCAAUAUCCUUAAAAUUACAAAGUUAAAUGGCAGGUACCACAAAAAGGAGAGAAAAAACACCAAUAGUACUAUUCAGAUCAUCAUGUACUUCCAAUAAUUUAACACCUUGGAGGAGAGCUGAAGUGCUGUUCACUCCAGAGGAGGUCUGUGUCACACACAGCAAAAUACAGCCCUAGUAGAGCAAUGUCAUCCCUUAACUAUGACCUCUGUCAAAGACUUUGAAAGACAAUGAAAGUAAAAACUGCCUACGUGAAACCUCUCAGAUCCUCGACGUCUUGCUCCUGAGACCCUACAGCUGAUCAUCAAGAUCAUCAAACGUGGAGUAAGUCCAACCAAGUCCAACCAACCACAGCAGCAGCUCCACACCCAAGCACACCCUGAUGGUUGAGCAGUGCCUAUCAUCGGCACACAGCUCCAACUGGAAGGUGAUGGUUUCAGUCCUAGCCCUUAAACUGUGCUCUCCAGAGAACCACAACACAAACAGCCAUUUCACCAGGAAACACCAGGAGCCUGAGGAGGUGCUCCAGACCAUGAAGUGUAGGACAUCCAGUCACGUUUGGUGCCUUUAGAUGAUAGACUUCCACCCUGGUUCCACUUACUGGAACAGGAUAUUUCAAACCACCAGGUCCAGUCUGCCUUAUUUUUAAUUUCAGCUUUCUCCCUUCUUCUUCUUCUUCUUCUCCGGCAUGGCAAGAGUGGCUAGACCCGUUCUCAGUUGGGGCAUUACAACUGGGCGCCAGCGGUCAAAAUUCGUCAGGGUCUCCGGCCCCUCGUCCCCUCCCUGUCCCGAGCCGGAGGAGCCGGGCGGCCGAUGGUGCCCCGGCGCUGUGGCCGCGGCCGGGGGGCAGCGCCCGGCGGGCUGGGCUGGGGGGCCCGGGGGCCGCCGCCCGCCCCUCCCGCAGCCCGGGCCGCCCGGAGCGGGGCCCCCGCCAAACUUUGCGGCCCGCGGGGAGCCCGGGCCCGGCCCGGCCGCCGCCCCCGCCACCCCCGCAGCACCCCGGGCAGGAGGUGAAGCAACCUGGCGCCGGCUCCUGCACUUUGCACAGCGGGCGCAGAGCCGCCUCCAUCCCUGCGCCUCCCGGCAGCGCUAAGGCGCAUUUUUUCGCACUAAUCUGCACAUUCAGCACGUCCAGAGCGCCUAUGACUUUACCUGGACUUUCUCCACUCUCCGGGCUCAUCACACCGCGAUCGCCUCCCCAUCCUACCGCUAACUCUCGCUCUCCUUCACUCCUUCCUCCUUCCCUCUUGCAAGGCCUGCUAAGAUCAAGCCCGAUGGAAAGUAGAGAGAGAAAGAGAAAGAGAGAGGCAGCGGGAAGGGAGGGGAGCCGCUCCAUCCCUCCCUGCCCCCCCCCGGGCACACACGCCAGCCCUUUUCCCCCCACCCCAGCCCUUCCCUCGGCGAUUUCCUCCGCUCUUCUGCAACUACGAGGGCUCGGCGGAGCGGCUCCGAACGCGCCCCCGCUGCCCCCGGCGGCGCCCCGGCCGGCGCCCCCCCCGCCGCCCGCCCGCCCCGCGGCCCCCGCUACCUCGUAAAGGUCCCCCGAAGCCAUGCUGGGGUGCGGGACCGGGCUCCUCCGCGCCGUCUCCCUCUCUCCACCUCUCCCGCUCCCCCACUCGCUCUCUCUGUUGAGUAAACUGUGUUUUGCAGAAUGACAGGCUUUGGGGCUGGCUGUGCGCAGAAUCAGAGGCGAGGAGAGCGGAGAGGCAGGCGGCGGGGCUGGCGUAACCAGCAGCAGCAGCAGCAGCAGCAGCUCGGGCGCACAGCGCCGGGAGCCGCGUCUCCCCCGCGGCGGCGGGGCCGGCGCCCCCCGCCCUCCCCUCACACCCCGCCCGCCGCCGCCGCCUCCCGCCCCGGGCGGGGACCGGGACCGGGACGGCUCCCCCUCUGCGCCCUCCCUCCGGCAGGGAAAGUCCCCGGGCCGCUCUGACGGCGGCCUCCUCUGCCCCCCCCCCCGCCUUCUUCCCCUCCGCCCCCCCGCCUCAAAACUCUUUCCGCGGCCAACAUAAAUAAAUAAAAAAUUAUAAUUUAAAAAGAAUAAAAAAUAGAGGGGCGGGGGGAGUGUGUGGGGGGGCGAGGAGCGGGCGCUUGUCGGGGAGGGCCGCGCCGCCCGCCCAAGGUCACCACGGGGAGAGCCGGGCGCGGGGCCUCGGGCGGCCCUGCCGGCACCUUCCCGCCCCCUCGGCGCCGCAUGGCCGCCCCACCCGGCCCGGCCGUCGCCGAGGGGACGGCGGGGCCGGGAGCCCCCCGAGGAGGGGCGGCCCGGGGAGGGGCGGCAGCUCUCGCCCCCCGCUCCCCGCCGGGCACAGCGGUGCCUCUCCCGCGCCCCCUCAGCCAUUUUGCGGGUUCUCCCGCCCGCCCCGGCCGAUGGAAAGCACGGCCCGCCCGCCACCUGCCCCCCACGUGGAGGCGGCGGCCGGCGGUUCGAAGCGGCUGAGGGACGUCGGGUGGCGCGAAGCCAUCGGCCAUCGACACUUUGGAGCCGUCCGGGUCAUCUGUCUGAGGGAAAACGCUGCCCCACGGCCACCGGCUCCUCGCGCGCAGUGAGGGGGAGCGCGGGCCGGCGGUGCUGAGCGGGCCGGGCUGUACCUGGACCCACCCCCGGCCCUCGUCAGCCAUCACCGCAGAGCUCAGAGCUCCGGGUGAGGAGCUUGGCUUGUCUCACACCAACUCCACGCGUGGCGUGAGUCUGGACAUACUCCGGAACCAUCUGGAUGCGAUCCUGUGCUUGAGUGGGGAGGCGGGACCAAAUGACCCACUGUGGUUCCUUCUGACCUGCCCGGUUCUGUGCUUCUGUGAAGAAGAACAAGCUCAUGGUGAAGGGAAGCCCUGCUUUUCGUCAGUGGUGGAGUCUUCAGGAGACAGGGACUGGUGUGUGGCAAAGAGCCCUGAGCAUCAUCCCCUGGGCACCUGAAGCCAAGGGCUGUUCCCUGUGGAGGCUCAUGAGCAUCGCGUCGUGUUCCUUCAGCUUCACACUGUGCUGAGUGUGUUUCUCCAGAUUAGUUCGCCUGGAAGAGACUUCAAAGACUGGGCCCUUCAGAUUUAUAAAUAUAUGGAAUAACUUCAGUAUAAUCGUGCAGAACUCACCCACUUCGAGUGCUGGAGUUGCAGAGAGAUUUGCUUGGGAGAUCCUGGCAGGACACUCAGGUAUGAUAGAAGAUGUAACUCUCCACGUGGAGACUAGGAAGAGGAUUUUGCUGAAAGAUGAGUACUGGUGAAAAUCAUCCUUGAAUCCAGGGUGGGUCUUGAGGAUGAUCCAGAAGCUUGGAGAAUUGAGCUGAUGCUCUGGGAGCCCUGG